GACGAACGCUGGCAGCGUGCUUAACACAUGCAAGUCGAACGGAAAGGCCCUGCUUUUGUGGGGUGCUCGAGUGGCGAACGGAUGAGUAACACGUGAGUAACCUGCCCUUGACUUUGGGAUAACUUCAGGAAACUGGGGCUAAUACCGGAUAGGAGCUCCUGCUGCAUGGUGGGGGUUGGAAAGUUUCGGCGGUUGGGGAUGGACUCGCGGCUUAUCAGCUUGUUGGUGGGGUAGUGGCUUACCAAGGCUUUGACGGGUAGCCGGCCUGAGAGGGUGACCGGCCACAUUGGGACUGAGAUACGGCCCAGACUCCUACGGGAGGCAGCAGUGGGGAAUAUUGCACAAUGGGCGGAGGCCUGAUGCAGCAACGCCGCGUGCGGGAUGACGGCCUUCGGGUUGUAAACCGCUUUCGCCUGUGACGAAGCGUGAGUGACGGUAAUGGGUAAAGAAGCACCGGCUAACUACGUG
rnacentral:rRNA from 1 species